CCGGAAGCGGAGAGCGCGGAGGCAAGGUCACGGAGCGGAGCAUUGACUGCUAAAGAAUCAUUUUGCCUAAGGAGUAUGCCCGGAAGAGGAGGAAGAGGAAAGAACUGGAGUUUGGAAUGGCUCUUUCUCAGAAUGAAGAAGCUACACGUGGAAGGCAGAUAUUAAUAUGCAGAAAUGCCUGG